UACAUAGGUCCCAAGCGUUGUUCGGAUUCAUUGGGCGUAAAGGGUGCGUAGGCGGCGCGGUAAGUCGGGUGUGAAAUCUCGGGGCUUAACUCCGAAACUGCAUUCGAUACUGCCGUGCUUGAGGACUGGAGAGGAGACUGGAAUUUACGGUGUAGCGGUGAAAUGCGUAGAUAUCGUAAGGAAGACCAGUGGCGAAGGCGGGUCUCUGGACAGUUCCUGACGCUGAGGCACGAAGGUCAGGGGAGCAAACGGG
rnacentral:rRNA from 1 species